rnacentral:rRNA from 1 species
CGGAGAGGGAGCAUGAGAAACGGCUACCACAUCUAAGGAAGGCAGCAGGCGCGAAAAUUACCCAAUACUAAUACAGUGAGGUAGUAACAAUAAAUAACACAGCCCAGCAUUUCAUGUUGGGCUUUUGGAAUGAGAACAAUUUAAAUCCAUUAUCGAGGAUCAAUUGGAGGGCAAGUCUGGUGCCAGCAGCCGCGGUAAUUCCAGCUCCAAUAGCGUAUAUUAAAGUUGCUGCAGUUAAAAAGCUCGUAGUUGGAUUUCUAGCGAGGCACGAGAAUAUCCACCUAUGGUGAAUACUUCUCUCGCCUUGCUCUUCUUUAGUUGAUGUCUCUGGCAUUAAGUUGUCGGAGUCCUGAGACUAAUCGUUUACUGUGAGAAAAUUAGAGUGUUCAAAGCAGGCUUAUGCCGUUGAAUAUAUUAGCAUGGAAUAAUAAGAUAGGACUUCGGUACUAUUUUGUUGGUUUGCGUACUGAUGUAAUGAUAAAUAGGGACUGGCGUGGGUAUUCGUAUUUUAAUGUCAGAGGUGAAAUUCUUAGAUUAUUGAAAGACGGACGACUGCGAAAGCAUCUACCAAGUAUGUUUUCAUUAAUCAAGAACGAAAGUAUGGGGAUCGAAGAUGAUUAGAUACCAUCGUAGUCUAUACCAUAAACUAUGCCGACUC